rnacentral:rRNA from 1 species
ACAUCAGCCGCCGCGGUAAUACGGAGGGUGCAAGCGUUAUCCGGAUUUAUUGGGUUUAAAGGGUCCGUAGGCGGAUCUGUAAGUCAGUGGUGAAAUCUCACAGCUUAACUGUGAAACUGCCAUUGAUACUGCAGGUCUUGAGUAAAUUUGAAGUGGCUGGAAUAAGUAGUGUAGCGGUGAAAUGCAUAGAUAUUACUUAGAACACCAAUUGCGAAGGCAGGUCACUAAGAUUUAACUGACGCUGAUGGACGAAAGCGUGGGGAGCGAACAGGAUUAGAUACCCCAGUAGUCCCUGUCUCUUAUAC